UGACCGUACUAAGGUAGCAUAAUAAUUUGCCUUUUAAUUGGAGGCUAGUAUGAAUGGCUUGACGUGAAAUAUACUGUCUCAACUAUAUUUAGUAGAAUUUAACUUUUAGGUGAAGAGGCCUAAAUUUUGUGGGAAGACAAGAAGACCCUAUUGAGCUUUAAAUAUUUAUGUUAGUGGGAGCCUAAGAUUUAUAUGAUGGUCAUUACUUCUAAGUAUGUUGGUUGGGGCGACCGAGGAGUAUAAAGUAACCUCCUUGUAAUGUAAAGAAUUUGUUAUCAACGAACCUGUAAUAUAGGUUAUUCGGUAGUUACCAUAGGGAUAACAGCGUAAUUCUUUUGAAGAGUUCAUAUCGAAGAAAGAGAUUGCGACCUCGAUGUUGGAUUAAGGUGUCCUAAGGG
rnacentral:rRNA from 2 species